AGGAACUUAGGUUAAAAUAAACCAAGGGCCUUCAAAGCCCUCAAUAAGAGAAAAACUCCUAGUUCCUG
rnacentral:tRNA from 1 species